rnacentral:tmRNA from 2 species
GGGGGUGUUUCGGAUUCGACGCCGGGAUUGAAACCUGAGGUGCAUGUCGAGAGGGUAGUAACUCUCGUAAAAAAAUUACUGCAACUUCUAUAGUUGCCAACGACGAAAGCUACGCCCUAGCAGCCUAAACCGCUUGCUAGCGAUUGCCACUGGGAUGUCCGUAAACCGGUGUUUGCAAUCGUCAUCUAGAACGGAAUCGCCAGUGGACCGCGCUUGACGCGAAGCGGCUAAAAAGUAUCAAGCUCGCCCAACUCACCCUGCCCGUCGGGCGGACGAGGGUUAAUUUAAUAGACGACGCUACACAUGUAGAUCCGAAGGCAGACGACUGGCGGACGGGGGUUCAAAUCCCCCCGCCUCCACCA